ensembl:lncRNA
UUCUGCCGCACACACAUCGCCAUAGAAAGCUCGUCCACAAGAUGAAGGUCACAUCUUGAGUCUCCAGAUUCUCCUCAGCAACAUGCAUGACCUCUUCAUCAGUCUGAAAAUGGUGACCUCUGGAUGGUGAUUUCAGUUUGGGAAACAGUCGCUGCAGGUCAGCCCCUGAAGUCAUCGGAGCUUUGGGCACUCGGCCAGGACAGGAUUUAAAUCUGCCCAUUCUCCUCCUGAGGAAGCCGUCUUCACGAUCUGCCCUGCAGCCGAACAUGGGGGGCAAUAAGUGGUGCAGAGGGGAUGACAAACGACAAUGAGUCAGGAAAUUACUUUGUGUACAGCCGGUAUUAUUCAUAAAGCAC